UGCUGCAAAAGUUUAGAGAUAAAGGCUUAAUCCUUUUGUGCCAAAUAUUGCAUUUGACCUCUCUUUGAAUUCUGGGAAAUGCAUCGCUGUGGCUUCUCCAAUCCCUUUGUUUGUUUUUUUUUACAUCCAAAUCUCUCGGGAUCUCCGGUUCGUUUUCACAUGGGCGGAGGGCUGCCACGUUCACUUCAACUUACACUGGGAUGACUUCCUUUGUGGACACAUGCUGUCCCUGUAUUUUGCUUUUGUCUGUGGUGACAACUGGGACGGCGUCAUGAUCAACUAGUACAUUUACACUAAAUAAGCAUCACAGGAUGAUUCAACAUGUGCUCUUCCGCUGAGACUCCACUGUUCACGGUCUGUGUGAAGCUUUGGGGAUUCCCCUCCUCGACCUCAUCCUCUCCCACCCUCCCUCGCCCUCCCAGAGGAGGUGGAUGGAGCGCCGGCAGCAACACAGCAGCAUCCAAGAGCCCCUGCUUCUCCUCCCAUCGAGCACCACUUAAGGCCUCCUGUCUCACACUGCAGCCCCGCCGGUAGUUGGGAACCAUUUUCUACUCAGAUGAGCGCAAACAAAGACAUGCAUGUGCAGGAGCGAGGGAAGAGGCAGGCAGGAGGAGGAGGAGGAGGAGGAGGAGGAGGAGGAGGCCGUUGGUGUGUUUGGUAAACAGCGAGAGAGCCGCAGGGAGCGGCUACUCGGGAGGAGAGGAAGAGGGGAAGGGGAAGUGGAGGAGAGGGAACACGAGAAGGGGGACAGAAGGGAACCGUACACUGAGGGAUGGCCGAGUCGGAAGCCGGUAACGAGUGGAGUAAAGGAAAUUGCAGGGGCUUCCAUGUCACAAUCCGCAGAUAGGCUGAUCUCAAAGGAAGGGGGCGGCACACCUGGCACUGAACAAACACGCUGCCCUCGCUGCACACAUGCUGCACAGAUCCUGCAGCUGACCAGGGGGCCUGAAGACGAAGCCGGUCCCCAGGGAUGACCGAACCACCCUUUCUCAGACACCCAUUUGUCGUACCCACCCCCUCCUCCCUCCCGAUGGAUGACCCUGCAACCAGCAGGGGUCAGCUGUGCAGAAGGAGCCCCCCCCCCUCCUGCACCCCAGGCCCUCGGUCCGGAGCCGCAGCGUAAAUCAGCGGCUGUUUCAUCGCGGGAACCCUGCCCUGCCCGGGGUCUCAGCCCAGCCUGGCACCAUCUGUCCCCGGGCUCUGACGCAGGAGCAGCGCUGCCAAGGUGGGUUCCCACUGACCUGCUGCACCCUCCAGACCAUAUGGGCCAGACCUGGGACCGGAGACAGAUCCAUCAUGCCGGAGUCUGGACACAGCAGAGCAGACUCGGUGUGCAUCCACUGUAAAGCUACUCUGAAUGAGCGGAUACAGGGGACAAGUUAAAGGUGGGCAGAUUAUUUUAAAGGUGGAAAGAUUUAAUUUCAGUUGGGAUGAUUAAAGGAAUUAAAGCCUGGCAAGCAGGAUGUUUGUUCUCUACUGUAUUAGAGCACACGAGUAUUUCAUGCAACUCCAAUACAAUUCAGUGGAAAAUAAUGUCAUAUUUACUCCGACGUAUUUACCUGAUACAGAGUACUGGUAACUUUUUAUAGAUUCAUACUUACUCAUGAUACUAUAGAAUACAUUGUUCUGGUAGCGGCCUUGUUUCAGUUAGUUGUCUGUAAGUUGUUAGCAACUUCAGAAAAUACCAAUUCUGCCUCUCAGAUGGUUUUAGUUUAAAACUGUUCAAAUUUCCAAAUAUUCCAAAAACAUAAAUAUAUAACCUGUGCUGCAGAACUGUGUCUUUUUAUUCUUCUUUCUACAAUGAAUCGUCUCAUCCUGUGACCUUUUGGACGGGAUCUGACACCAAAGUUUGUGGAAGUGCUGUUUUUUGACAUAACUACUAAAAAAAAGUGGAAAAUGACUUGUAUCCUGAGUAUUCAUGUUAAUAAGCAGCUUUUUUAAGGACAGAAAAACAUGCAGCAUGGUAAUUGAGAGAGGGCCGAUGUUGCAUUCUGAUUGCAACUAUUUCUAUUGGUUGAAAUAACAUACAUCACUGAUUAUGCUGUUUUAUUUUUGUGUGGUGAACUGCUCUUUAAAUAUGUGAGAUCGCUUAUAAUGAAAUAUUUUUAUAGUCUGAGGACAACGGGACAGUGUCAAUUAUAGGAACUUAUGAUCCUUGUACCAUUUUGCACAUUAACAAUACAGCGGGUGUUUGCUUUAGGCCCGUGGCCCGUCAUUAAAAUUCAGGGGGAAUAAGUUUGUGCACUCCAGGUUUAUAAUAACUUCUCUCAGAGGGCUCAAACCAAACUUAAGUGGCGUCUCCUCCUGAUUAGGCUGUAAUUGCACAGCUAUGGGCUACUUUCGAAUUCUUGCUUUUAUUGCCAAAAGUAGUUGAGCAGAUUGCUUUGUUGACAUAUAUUUAAGUGAAAGUAAAACUUACCGAUCUUAAAAAAAGAAAAAAUCUGGUUAAUUAGAGCGCUCGCAAUUCCACCUCUGGCCAAAAACAAGUCACGAUCUAUUAAGGUGACCCGCCCGACCCUGUCAUUUUGCUGUAUAACUGCCACACACUAAAUAGUUGAUGUACUACUCACACAUGUAAAACAGUCCAACCUUUAAAGUGCAAGACAAGUCUCUGCACUCCACCUCAUCACCUUUGACGACUUGACGUCUUUUCCCUCUCCAUCAUAACAGCACCUGGAAUUGUGACACGUAAAUCUUAUCAGCAGAGACAGUCUGCGGGUCCCCGGGCAGAACAGCCCGGCUUAUUGCCUUCUCCCACAGUCCCGACCUUGCUGCUCGCCCCCUUAGGCCCGGCUCUAAUGGGCGAGCAGGGGUCAUAAAGUGCUUGUGUUACUGUUUUCCUUUUCCCAAACCAGUGACACCAGUUGUUCACCCUCCUCACCGCGGCCUUUUGUGAGGCCUGACAAGCUGUCAGUUCCAGGCGGAGGAUGGUUGUUAGAAGACGAAACGCAUUACCUUGAGCUGACACCACACUCGGCUGAAGGCCUGUCUUUAUGAGCUAACAAUAACUUUGAACAGCUCUGUAGCACAACAUUAAAAAGUUUUUGCUGCUGCUCUGCGGUGUGUGUGUUCAGUUUGUUGCGUCAAAUCGGGACAUGUCUCGCAAAAGAAAAUAUCUGGAGCAGAUUCAUCCGGCAGAUAAAUGAUAACUGGGGUAAAGGAUUGUUGUUUGUGAAGACUCCCACGUACAGUUUUGAUGUAUACGUGUUGUCUUAUCGCUCUCGCAGGCUUGAGGAGUGAUUUUUGGCCGUCAUCAGGGUUGAGGGUAGGGCAAGAAGACCUUCACUGUGACACAUACAACCCCAAGACGAAAAUAGACACACGCCCACCCACAUACACGUACAUGUACGCACAGUAAAGAGUGCGUCACUCUGAGAACAGGCGCAAACUACUGAACAGUUUGUACUUUUGUCCUCUAGUUUGCUCAGCUGAAAAGUUGAAAUUGCAAUCAUCUGAUAAACAUAACUGAGCGUUCACAGAACCACAGGAUAAUUGUACCAAAGAGUUUGUGUUGCAGUUGAUUACAGACUCUACUUCUACAACUCUUUGUGUGUCCUCUGUGUUUUUAAUUAAAACAUUAGAUAUUGGAUUUAUAUUUAGAUGUUUGAGUUGAUUAAAUAUAUUGGCUGAUUCAGCUUCUCACAAAUUAAUCCUGACAUACACUGAUUCAUUUUGACUUUUUUUCUUUAUCAUUCAUUUGUUUUUGGAAAGACUGUAUUCGAAAUCAUGAGGAGAAAAUAAAAAAACUGACUGGAAACUUGAUGUUGGAGAAUAAUGAAGAUAUCUGAGCUCAGUUUGCGAUGUAAUCUGUGCACAUGCUGCCCUCGUGUGUUCAGCCACAGGAACUGACAUUAUCCUCUCUCGCACGGACAUCUCCGGUCAAUCACAUUAGACAUCACUGUCAAACAUCACUAAAGAUCGAUUUUGACAUGAAGCAUAACUUAAAACACUGUUCUAUACCAGCAU
ensembl:lncRNA